rnacentral:rRNA from 1 species
UACGUAGGGCGCAAGCGUUAUCCGGAUUCACUGGGUUUAAAGGGUGCGUAGGUGGGCCUGUAAGUCAGCGGUGAAAUCUCCGGGCUUAACCCGGAAACUGCCAUUGAUACUAUAGGUCUUGAAUUAUCUGGAGGUAAGCGGAAUAUGUCAUGUAGCGGUGAAAUGCUUAGAUAUGACAUAGAACACCAAUUGCGAAGGCAGCUUACUACGGAUCGAUUGACACUGAGGCGCGAAAGCGUGGGGAUCAAACAGG